ACGCUGGCGGCAUGCCUAAUACAUGCAAGUCGAACGAGCUUCCGUUGAAUGACGUGCUUGCACUGAUUUCAACAAUGAAGCGAGUGGCGAACUGGUGAGUAACACGUGGGGAAUCUGCCCAGAAGCAGGGGAUAACACUUGGAAACAGGUGCUAAUACCGUAUAACAACAAAAUCCGCAUGGAUUUUGUUUGAAAGGUGGCUUCGGCUAUCACUUCUGGAUGAUCCCGCGGCGUAUUAGUUAGUUGGUGAGGUAAAGGCCCACCAAGACGAUUAUACGUAGCCACCUGAGAGGGUAAUCGGCCACAUUGGGACUUGA
rnacentral:rRNA from 2 species